AUCUGAUGAAAAGAGACUGGAGGCAGAGAAACUGGCUCAGAAGCCAUCACUGCAACUCGGAUGUGGGCUGAUGAGGACCCUGGGCUGGCUGCCUAUGCGAGUGGAGAGGAAAUGGUAGAUUAAAACGGCAUGAUUUCAGUGUUUGUGGGAGGUUGUGUGAAGAAGAGUGAAGAGAGCAAUAAAAAAUAACUCAAAACUUGAAAACUACAAGGGAAUUUGGGGGUUAUGGCGAUACAGUAUUUUGAGAGGAGGGUAGCCUGGGGGCAAUGGGAGAAGAGAAGGGGAAUGUUUUAAUAGGGUAAAUAAGACCAAUGCAUAGCUGAAUAAAACUUACAUUUGGAUUACAAUAGUGAAAAACCAGGACUGGACAACACAUUACUAUUUCAAAGAAGGAAAAAUAAUAGGAAGAAAGACUAUGUGGAACACUCUCCAGAAAUUGUAAUCUGGGGCAGUCCCAGGCUGUAUAAUGUUUCCGUUCCAUUUUGCCUAUAGAUGUAAAACAAUGUGCACAGGAGAGAUCAUGAGUUGGCUUUGAGUUCCCUGGCUCCCUGUUUCUCUCUGUCUUCCCUCUGUAGGGUUCACCUCGAGCCUCGGUGUGUCAGGCCUGGGAACAAGAGGAGCAAGUUUGCCACGAGACUUUGGUACUUCGUGAGACACCUCAGAGGUUCUAACAGCCUCUCUGCAGCUGGCGAGUACAAGAUGAAGCAAGGUGUUUCUGAGAGCUGGAAUUGGUCCAGGAGUUGUCUUGGAUGCCACUGGAUCACAAGGAGCUGAGAAACACAGGAAGGAAGAUGACCUUCCAUUAGAGGUGAGUCUUUCAAAGUUGGAGGAAGGGUGACUGGUGGGGAAGUUGAAUACAGAAUAAACCCAAGGAGAUUAAGAAAAUGUGGAGUUGG
rnacentral:lncRNA from 12 species